AUUCAUCCACUUUCAAACAAAAAUGUUUCCACUAUUUUUCUUCUCUUUUAUGUUUUUAUUCUCUUUUUUUCAAAAGGAAAAUGUAAUGACAUUCUUCUUUGUUUUUUCCAUAUUUUUUUCUACAUAUAUAUUUUUUUCUUUUUUCUGCCAACUUUUGAAUGAAAUAUCACAACUAUAGUUAUUCAACCCUACACAACUCCAAACAAGACUCUUUCAACCCUAUGAAUGGGUGAUAACAUUGUUUUUCA
rnacentral:lncRNA from 1 species